GGGCCGUUAACUCAGUUGGCUAGAGUGCCCGCCUUACACGCGGAUUGUCGGGGGUUCAAGUCCCUCACGGCCCACC
rnacentral:tRNA from 1 species